rnacentral:lncRNA from 1 species
CACGCCUGGACCGUCCGAUCCCUCCGAUCCCUCUUCUGGAACAACGGCCAAGAUGAUGCCUCCUUUACCUGCAAUGAGUUCCAGUAUCCUCUAGGUUAGUCCCUCCUUUGAUCAAAGCUUCACACGCGCACGGAGAUCCAAAGCAAACAAAAUAUUUCGGAAUGGAGGUGGGGCUACGAAAAAAAUAAUUUCUUUUAGAUUGCUCAUGUGUACCAAGAGACGAAUAAGACGGUUAAUUGGAUUGCUUCAUUUGCUGUCCAUCACUUGGAAGAAAUUUCUUGGACAUGCUCAGAGAUUAUAUCUUCAUCCUUAUGCCACAUAUUGUAUCUUAACUUAGUUGGUUGUAGUCACACCAUAUUAACAAACAAAAA